AGGACGAACGCUGGCGGCGUGCCUAACACAUGCAGGUCGAACGAGGCCAUUCCUUCGGGAGUGAGUCGAGUGGCGGACGGGUGAGUAACACGUGAGCAAUCUACCCUUGUGCGGGGGAUAACCCGGGGAAACCCGGGCUAAUACCGCAUGUUUCAGGAGAACGACAUCGUUUUCCCGGGAAACGUGGCCUCUUUACAAUGCUACGGCGCAGGGAGGAGCUCGCGGGCUAUCAGCUAGUUGGUGAGGUAACGGCUCACCAAGGCAUCGACGGCUACGGGGUCUGAGAGGACGACCCCGCACAUUGGAACUGAGACACGGUCCAGACUCCUACGGGAGCAGCAGUGGGGAAUAGUUGGGCAAUGGCCGAAAGGCUGACCAGCGACGCCGCGUGUGGGAGGAACGCCCGUU
rnacentral:rRNA from 1 species